rnacentral:rRNA from 1 species
UAGGUGAACCUGCAGAAGGAUCA